rnacentral:snRNA from 1 species
AAUAUUUCUCGGCCUUUUAGCUAAGGUGUAAUAUUUGUGCUUAUUAGUUUGAUAUAUGAUAUGUGAACUAUAUGUUCACUUUGAUUUUAAAUUUAUUUUUUUAUUUUAUGGAUAUUAAAUAUGUUUGUGUGCCCGUGCGUUGUACUAUUCUAUAACACUGAGGAUGUUGUACUAUUCUAUAA